ACGGGUAAGCGUGUUGCCCAGUGUGAGUUAUUUACAUCAGUUACUUGUGAUGCUGAUGACGUUACCUGGGAUGUUAUUUGCAGUUAUUCACAUCAGGAGUUACUUGUGGUGUACAUCCGUUCGUGUACGCUCUUCGCACACCGAGAGACCUGAGGAACCAGCUGCUGUGUGUGGCCUCCAGCAGACCGAUGGGCGGCGUCCCUCCAGUCUCUCCAGCCCUGGACUCUCAGAUGCAGAAGGGAGCCGCGGUUACCAUCAGCUCCGUCAUCCCUGGGGAAAGGCCCCCUUGCCUAUUUCGAACGGCUCUGCCGUUCUCAUCUCAACCCUGCUGUGAGGUCACAGGUUUGGAGGCCGGCAGAAGGAUCCCCAAGCAUUUCCCACUGUGAUCUCACAAUACUGGCUGCCGCCCUCGCCCUCCUGGCUCUGCCACAGGGAGCAAUUCCAGCUCCCGAGUCUGGAGGGAUGUCUUUGUGAAAUCUCUUGGCUCUUUAGACAUCAGGUCAGACACGAAGCUCUGCUGAGAACACUAUGCUGGUCUUGAUCGAGAGCACACGACUGGAGAAGUGGCUGGCUUUGCAUUUCUGCUUAUGACUUCCGUUCGUUACUGACACCCCACAUCGGCGGUGCGCGCCCGGCAAGCCGUGGCAGGCACCCGAGCCUGGGUUCACGAACGCAGAGAGGAGCCACAGGGACGGGACAGAGCGGAGAAAUGGGAAAGGGGGGGUUUGUCGGGAUGUCAACUGUUGACAUCUAAUUAAAACAACUUUCU